rnacentral:piRNA from 1 species
UACACAUGGCUGUGAUCCAGGCACCUCUUU